UUUUUAAUUUUAUUUAGUCUUUUUAAAAUAUUUUUUUAAUUGGAAGUAAAAGGCACAACCAUAUUUGUAACUAACUCCACCACUAAACCCUCCCCCUCUCUCUCUCUCUCUCUCUCUCUCUCUCUCUCUGUCUCUCGACAUAUCUCUUUCCACAACUCUUCCCGUCCUUGACGCAUUCUCUCUCUAGAGGGCUCUCGUCCUCCCCCUCCUCUUCUCUCUCUUUCUAUGUAUCUCUCUCUUCCUACACCUCACCUGCCCUUGACACAUUCUCUCUCUUAGAUAGAUCUCUCUGCCUCCUCUUCUCUCUCUUUCUAUUCAUCUCUCUCUUCCUACACCUCUCCUCUUCGUUUACUUGACACAUUGAUUCUCUAUCUCUUACACUGUACCUCUCUCUCUCUCUCUCNNNNNNNNNNNNNNNNNNNNCUCUAUCUCUUACUACUGUACCUCUCUCUCUCUCUCUCUCUUCCCUUCGUCUCCUUGACACACAGCUACUCUCUCUAUCUCUGUUCCUUUGCGCUUUGUGCUCGGCACUGCCACAAUGAUUCCUUCCUCAGCUUCAUCUUCCUCGGGUUCUCGGAAGAAGAGGAUGAAGCGUGGCCCAAAAGCCCAACCGGGGACCAAGUGGCGGACCGCGGCGCAGGAGCGGGUAUACGGCCG
rnacentral:lncRNA from 1 species